rnacentral:misc_RNA from 1 species
GACAGUAUCUUUAGUGUUGCCCAAUUACAAUCAGUGUAAGUAUCAACUUGUUCUCUAGUAGCACGACAUUCCAAUCAUUGUAUCAUAAGGAAAGCAACUGAAAAACUGCGAAAUCUUUCUACCUGGUAAACUGAGAGCUGAUUAGUAUGAUUUAUGGUAACAGUGUAUUAAGCAACAACCAGCUAAAUGGCACCUUGGACAUUG